rnacentral:rRNA from 1 species
AUGGGUAGUCUCGUGAAUCUCCAUUAUUUGGAUAAGGAGACAUUUAUGAAUGGCAAUGACGAUGAAGGGGAAGAACACAUGGUAUUUGAGUAUAGCUCAACCUAUGAGGAUGUAGUUGUGAAAGUUAGAAGUGUGUUACAUUGGAUGGACCCAAGUGAUGAGGUUAAACUUAUUAGAAGGUAUGAUGUUGGAGUGGGGGUGAAGUCUCGGUUGAAGAGUAUGCCUAUCACCUCGGAAUUGCAUUGGAAGGUGUACAAGGGUAAAGUAGAGCAAUCACAAGACAACUCACUUGAAUUAUUUGCCAGCAAGGUUGAUGCUCCUCUACUACAAAUUGACUUGAACCGGCAUGCCUCCUCCCCAAUACAUGAUGCUAGGGUUGAGGUGUAUGUCCCCAAUUCUUAUAGCCAACCACCAAGUAGUCAA